rnacentral:rRNA from 1 species
ACGGAGGAUGCGAGCGUUAUCCGGAUUCAUUGGGUUUAAAGGGUGCGUAGGCGGACUAUUAAGUCAGUGGUGAAAUCCUGCAGCUUAACUGCAGAACUGCCAUUGAUACUGAUAGCCUUGAGUUUGGGUAGGGUAGGCGGAAUGUGUAGUGUAGCGGUGAAAUGCGUAGAUAUCGGGAAGAACACCGGUGGCGAAGGCGACUUACUGGGCGGACACUGACGCUGAGGCGCGAAAGCGUGGGGAGCAAACAG